AUUACUUUUUGCAGUUUUCAGUAGAAUCCGGGUUCAGUUUUGGACAUCUUGUGAUUUUUUUUUAAACUAGCUUUAUAAGUAUUGUUAGUAUCAAUGAAAAAAAUCUUGCAUAUUCUUAAAAACCAUGGCAAGCACACAAAGGAGUACAAAGGCGAGAAAGAAAUUCAGCAGUGGGGAUCCUCAAGAUUCACUUUUUGCAAGAGCAUAAUAGCCGAUCUUCAUCCUGUAGUGAGCAGGCGGAUGGGACUUGCUGCUGCCUGUGGAAUUUCAUUGAUGUCUCUAUGCCCACAUCAUUACUCCAGACUCUGGGAGCUUCGUACAACUCAUCUUAUUAACUGCAGGGUCUGACAAAAUGCAGAGAUGUCACACUACGAAGGGGGGUCACCGGAUCCACUGCCAGGAUGGUCUGCUUAAUGGUCCCCAGGUCCAGUGGAAAAAACACCACGGGGAGAAAGGUUCAGAGCUAACGGCUGCUGACUGGAUGGGGGAGUCAGAACAAGGUGAGCAGGCAGAAGAUUCAGGAGUGGAGGAUUGUUGGAGGCAGAGGACAGGAAGCAAAGUAUGGGAAACAAGAGAUGAGGCCUGGGGUAUAGGAACAGAACAUUCUGGACACAAACUCAGAGAAGGUCUGGAUCUGAACUACCCACCUCUGCCCCUGAGACAGGACUGCUGCUAAUAACAAUAAUGAUGAAGGGAAAGUGGUUGGAAGAUGGAUGGAUGGAUUUAUAAUGACUGACCACCAGAGGGCACUACAGAUGACGUUUUAUAAUACAAAGUCGCUGUAUGAUAAAGAUGCUGUUUUCUUUUAAACCAGACAGGGGCAGCAUAUAUCUGCAUUGUGUUAAAGCUUCAUGGAACGAAGCCUUUUUUAGGGUAAUUCUUUAUAGGUUCUUUUAUAAUUCAAUUGCUUGCUGCUUAGGUUGUUGUCGGAAAAUUACAGUGUGCAUUCA